AUACGGAGGGCGCAAGCGUUAAUCGGAAUCGACUGGGCGUAAAGCGCACGUAGGCGGCGAGAUAAGUCGGGCGUGGAAAGCCCUCGGCCCAACCGAGGAAUUGCGUUCGAUACUGUUUGGCUUGAGUCCUGGAGAGGGUGGCGGAAUUCCGGGUGUAGGAGUGAAAUCCGUAGAUAUCCGGAGGAACACCGGUGGCGAAGGCGGCCACCUGGACAGGUACUGACGCUGAGGUGCGAAAGCGUGGGGAGC
rnacentral:rRNA from 1 species